AUGCAUUUACAGAAAACCCCUAUAUGUUUUCUAAAAAAGCAAUCGGGUCUCAGAAUGUUUUUCAAAAAAGUAAUCCGGCCCUUGGUAGCUCGUCUGCACCCAGAGGAAAUGGCGCCGGCGGCUCGCCUGCCGCCAGGUCGCCGGCCAGGCGAAAUGAGGCCGCUUGGCUGUCGCGUUCCUCGGUGCGAGGCGAGGCGGGCGACAGAAUGGGUGGUGGGGGUCGCCGCCGCGCGCGCCGCCUGGAGUCUCCGCGCGGCCAUGGGGCUCCGACACGGGUCGUCGCGCUGCCACGCACCAUCGGAAGCCGCGGCCCGCCACGGGGCUCUGCUCGUGUCACUGCGUCGCGCCGCUCCAUCGGGAGUCGCCUGGGAGUCGCCAGGGCUCGCUGCGCGCCAUGGGGAGCCGGCCGGCGUAGAGGCGGCCACAGGUCCGGGGGCGUCGUGCAGCACAACUAGGCGGCGGGCGUUGAGAGGCAGGAGAGAAGGAUGUGAGGUGGAGGAAUGGCCAGGAUUGAGCCCUGAUGAGCGCCGGCGGUGGGUGGCGUACUGGCCGGAGGAGGCGGAGUCGCGAGCUCCAGCUCGGGAGCGAGAGGAGCGCCAAUGGAGUGCCCUGCUCUAA
rnacentral:rRNA from 1 species